rnacentral:rRNA from 1 species
CAAUAGUGUAUAUUAAAGUUGUUGCAGUUAAAAAGCUCGUAGUUGAAUGUUGGUGUCGAACGAGCGGUCAGCUUCGGCUGUACUGCUCUCUCGACUCCUUCCUUCUGUGGACUACGUCGCACUUUACUGUGUGGCGCUAGGACGCAGAUCGUUUACUGUGAAAAAAUUAGAGUGUUCAAAGCAGGCCGUACGCUUGAAUACAUUAGCAUGGAAUAAUGGAAUAGGACGUCGGGCCUAUUUUGUUGGUUCUAGGACCGUCGUAAUGAUUAAUAGGGACAGUUGGGGCCGUUUAUAUUCCAUAGUCAGAGGUGAAAUUCUUGGAUUUACGGAAGAUAAACUACUGCGAAAGCAUUCGGCAAGGAUGUUUUCGUUAA